rnacentral:rRNA from 1 species
GUGGGGAAUCUUAGACAAUGGGGGAAACCCUGAUCUAGCCAUGCCGCGUGAGCGAUGAAGGCCUUAGGGUUGUAAAGCUCUUUCAGCUGGGAAGAUAAUGACGGUACCAGCAGAAGAAGCCCCGGCUAACUCCGUGCCAGCAGCCGCGGUAAUACGGAGGGGGCUAGCGUUGUUCGGAAUUACUGGGCGUAAAGCGCGCGUAGGCGGACCAGAAAGUUGGAGGUGAAAUCCCAGGGCUCAACCUUGGAACUGCCUUCAAAACUCCUGGUCUGGAGUUCGAGAGAGGUGAGUGGAAUUCCGAGUGUAGAGGUGAAAUUCGUAGAUAUUCGGAGGAACACCAGUGGCGAAGGCGGCUUUCUGGACUGUAACUGACACUGAGGCACGAAAGCGUGGGGAGCAAACAGGAUUAGAAACCCGUGUAGUCC